rnacentral:antisense_RNA from 1 species
CACCAAAAUAUUCGCCAUCGCCCAAAAGAGCGAUCCGCAGGUCUUCACCGUGAGGGCCUUUGCUGACAACCUCUGCCUGACCGCUGGCCACAAUAAAGAAGCGUUGUUUGUCCUUACCCUCCUCUACGAAGAGUUGAUCGACAUCUACCUCUUUGGUUUCGAACGAACUCACCAGACGGUGCAGUAUCUCGUCGUCGAACUCAGAGAAGAGUGGAAUAGCCUUCAGGUUCUUUGCCGUGAACGAUGGUACGCCAUUCACAUACUGAAUGGGCAGGCGGUCGUUCUUACGAAGUUCUACUUUUGUGCGGUUCACACGGAAUGUGCCGCCAGAGACCUGUACCCAAGGAAGGAGUUUCAACAAUAGUCUCGGGGUGAUGGAGCCCAUCUGUGGGGCGGUCUUGGUAGUCGUUGCCAGUCUUCUGGCGGUAGCAGU